rnacentral:misc_RNA from 1 species
CCCAACCCAUCGUCUUCUCUUGUGCAAUCGAAAAUGCAGCAGGCUGGAACUUCGGGGUCCGAAGUGGAGGUAACAUGGGAGGAUCAGCAGAAUAUUAACAAAUUUGGCAGAUUGAAUAAUCGUCUUCACGAACUCAAUGAUGAAAUCAAGGCUGCCAAGGAAAAAUGUGAAAACCUUGAGGAUGCAAGCAACGAGCUUAUUCUGACCGAUGAAGAGAUAGUGCGCUUCCAGAUAGGGGAAGUUUUUGCUCAUGUUCCAAAGGAGGAAGUGGAGAGCAGGAUAGAGAAACUGCAAGAGGAAACUAGCAAGAACUUGGAGAAACUAGAGGAAGAGAAAGAAUCAAUAGUUGCCCAGAUGGCUGAACUUAAGAAGAUAUUAUAUGGCAAAUUCAAGGAUUCAAUCAAUCUUGAGGAGGACUAAUAAAAUUUCAUAAUUUUUGCGUUCGAAUUUGCUGUUGGUUGAAGACUGCUCCUCUUGAUUGGAUUUUUUCAUGUCUUGUGUCUUAAAACAGUUUUGAGAUUCUUAAAACAUGCAGGUUCUUAUGUAUUCUGUUUCUU